CCUACGGGAGGCAGCAGUGAGGAAUAUUGGUCAAUGGGCGUAAGCCUGAACCAGCCAAGUCGCGUGAGGGAUGAAGGUUCUAUGGAUCGUAAACCUCUUUUAUAAGGGAAUAAAGUGUGGGACGUGUCCUGUUUUGUAUGUACCUUAUGAAUAAGGAUCGGCUAACUCCGUGCCAGCAGCCGCGGUAAUACGGAGGAUCCGAGCGUUAUCCGGAUUUAUUGGGUUUAAAGGGUGCGUAGGCGGCCUUUUAAGUCAGCGGUGAAAGUCUUUGGCUCAACCAUAGAAUUGCCGUUGAAACUGGGAGGCUUGAGGAUGGUUGAGGCAGGCGGAAUGCGUGGUGUAGCGGUGAAAUGCUUAGAUAUCACGCAGAACCCCGAUUGCGAAGGCAGCCUGCCAAGCCAUGACUGACGCUGAUGCACGAAAGCGUGGGGAUCAAACAGGAUUAGAUACCCCAGUAGUC
rnacentral:rRNA from 1 species